rnacentral:lncRNA from 1 species
CCAUACAUGUAUGUAUCAAAAUCAAACCUAAACCAUAGCCAAUUAAUACCAUUUUCAACCCAACCAAAACUAAACACAAUAUUUUCCUCACCCAAACCAGUUUGAACCCAAUACAUAACUAUGGGUUUAAACCAAAUACAAAACCAUAUUCAACUUUGGUUUAGCAGUGACAUGCCAAACAAUAUUUUGAACAAUAAUUUAACGGUGACAAUAAUUUAACAGUGACAUAACUAUGGGUUUAAUCUGAGACUUGUAUUAUUGCUCCCUCAGCCAAUAAAUAGGCUUCUUCGUCGCCGGCAUAUGUGAGAUCACUUUGCUGCCUGAUAAGGUGUGUAGCUCCCCCAGCCAAGCUGAGACACUUCCGCACCACCAUGCUAAACCACUGUUGCAUCACAAAGAGAGAGUUCUAUCAGAUCAUAAUUAUUUUGAGAAUGGAGAAGCAUAAUCAACAAACAGAAAUAUUAGACUGCAGAAAUUAAUGACUGCAGCAAUCACAAGUCCAACAGUAUAAAAUGAAACAGAAGCCGAAGUGCUUUCUGAUACCAAAUGAUGGCAGGGAAGUAUUUGUUCAGUUACGAUGCUCUCAAAAUACCCAAUACAGAAGUUAGUUACAAGACCUCAUAUUUACUUACCAUUUCUUAACCAAGUUUUUUUGCUAACAGCUAAGAUUUAAACCUCUGUCCAAAUGUAAAGCUCUUGCAGAAAUAACCAGAUGUUUAUUAUACUACUACGUAGUCUCGAAGCUCAGGAAAAAAAAUCUUUACAUCUCUAAGCAAAACUGGAUGUCUUGUGUUACAAGAUCAGGAUAUGCAUGCCGAAGGAGUUGUCCGGAGUAUAUCACAAACGUAACUCAUACUCCCUCUGUCUCAAAAUAACUGUCUCAAAUGUAGUAAGCUUGGGACAGUUAUUUUGGGACGAAGGGAGUAUAUAACAGGGGAGAACUCAUAUACUCCCUUCCUUAUUAACAUGGUAGUAUAUAGCAGGCAUCAGCAAUAUUAACAGGGGAGAGCUCACAUAGCAGGUCCUACUCAGAGCACAGGGAUUAAAACAGUAAAAACAUGAUAACAUGGUGUACUUACUUGGGGAAACUGAGAAUGUUCCGGAGGAGCCGAACCACUGAACUACUCUGCUGCACACAAACAAGUGAAAUAAGUAAGUCAUUCAACAAUGAUGUUAGUGUAGGAAUACAGGAAAGUUUGGCAGAAAGAUCCAAACAUCAAGAGAGGAAGGCUCAAAAAGACUACACGCUUUGCCUUGAGUCUAUGGGAACAGAGAUGCAAAGUUGCAGACACAAAACCCCCAAUCAAUCAAACAUAUAAAGAAAGCAUUGAUCGUAUUAGAUGCUCAGUAAUGGUACCCAAGAAUAGACCAGACCAGACUCAAUAGGGGGAAAAGAAGUUUUUUUUUACAACAGAUGGGAAAUCAGACCCCCGAGAAACCUCUGAAAACCCCCCAGAAUUUCUUUCACUGCAGAGAAAACCCCCAAAAGUUUGAUUUUUUUUGUUUGAAAAAAUAAAAUACGCCCUCUGACAUAGGACAAGAA